rnacentral:lncRNA from 1 species
AGAAAACAUGGCGGAUUCUUGAAGUUUUGGAAAGAGAUCAAUAAAAUGGCUAUUAAGAUGGUGAGGAACAAUACAUGUAUAUGAUUAUAAUUGAACCUACUCUGCUCUCUCAAUCUUGUUGGUAACCAUAUUUGCUGUCUUAGAAGAAGAAUGAAGAUGAUGACUGACUGACUUGGUGAGUAAACUACAUACCUGAUAAUCAGUAAUAAACUGCUGCUUGGGAACAUGAUUAGACUUGUGCGGCAACAAUGCAAGUCCAUAUUGUUAUGAAGGUCACAGGGUCAUCAGGUUGAUAUUCAGGUCAACACCCAUACAGCAACAAGUCAAGAUGCAGUAUGGUAAUGAGGUUCAGAUGUCAGGUAUCGGCAGCCAUCUUGUUACAGAUCACUGGACCGUCUUAUGGAGAGUUUCACGUAUUGACACACGUCGAACCGCGAAGGAAGCAAGAUUCGAAUGGCACAAGUCACACCAAGAGACUGGAUACUAGCAUUUUACACAGGGAUCCCACAAAAAACGAUAUUUUUUAUCAAAAAUUCGGAUAUUUUCUAGCAAUAUUUUUAGCCCAAAAGGUAUAAAACCACUAGAAGAGGCUAUUUUAGCACUUAAUGGAGGAUAAAAAUCCGAAAAAACGCUUGUUUUAGGGCAAAAACACGAAUAUGUUAAUUUAGUCACGUGACCAGUCACGUGCCCAUCAAUUUUGUGUUUUUUUGGGUGUGAUUUUUUAAUUUUUUGUGACAAAAAUUUU